rnacentral:rRNA from 1 species
CGUACGUAGUGUGUAAAGUCAAAAGAGAACUUCAUUGCAAGACAUACAGGACGAGCAAGGAUGAUAAUCGGAGUUAGUGUUCCGGUGGUUCAGCGUAGAACGGCCACCGCCCAACGGACAAAAGCUUCCCUGGGGACAACAGGACUAUGCCCCCCAAGAGUCCACAUCCACCGGUAGGUUUGCCACCUCGAUGUCGGCUCAUCACAUCCUGGGGCUG